AUACACAUUUUCAAUGGCUUCAGGGCAUAAAAAAUGUAAUGAAAAAUAAAUAACUACAAUAAUUAGUAGAUUUAGUAGAUCUAACAGCUUUGGCACGUAGCAGCUUUGGCAAUUCCAUCAAACACAACAGCUCAUUUUCUGAUUUAAAAUAUACGAGUGCUCUAGUCGUAUUUGCCCGCUAGGGGAUACCCUGAACCUUCUUACACUUUUUACUGGUUUAAUAAAAAAAAUAUAACAUAACAAAAACAUAGAAACAAAGAUUACAUUAACCUUUAGCCGACCAAUACCAAUCACAAUGGAUUUUUGUGAAAUAGCACCAUUGCUUAGAAUGUAAUAAAAAAGAUUAUGGAAAAAUUAGUGAGUAGUGUUAUGAAACCUUAGUCCUAUAUAACAUCUCAUGGCUGUGACUAUUUAGGUAUAUAUACAUACCCAUCAAGCACAAUUUCAGCCGAACAAUCUGUUUAAAUUUUUAAAUGCAGCUGCAACGUGCGAGAACUAUUGUGUUCAUACAUAUGGACAGACGGACGGAGAUGUCAAAAUAACUCUCACAAAUAUAUUAUACCCCUUUAUACACAUUUUCAAUGGCUUCAGGGCAUAAAAAAUGUAAUGAAAAAUAAAUAACUACAAUAAUUAGUAGAUUUAGUAGAUCUAACAGCUUUGGCACGUAGCAGCUUUGGCAAUUCCAUCAAACACAACAGCUCAUUUUCUGAUUUAAAAUAUACGAGUGCUCUAGUCGUAUUUGCCCGCUAGGGGAUACCCUGAACCUUCUUACACUUUUUACUGGUUUAAUAAAAAAAAAUAUAACAUAACAAAAACAUAGAAACAAAGAUUACAUUAACCUUUAGCCGACCAAUACCAAUCACAAUGGAUUUUUGUGAAAUAGCACCAUUGCUUAGAAUGUAAUAAAAAAGAUUAUGGAAAAAUUAGUAUAUAUACAUACCCAUCAAGCACAAUUUCAGCCGAACAAUCUGUUUAAAUUUUUAAAUGCAGCUGCAACGUGCGAGAACUAUUAGGGCAACUUAAUUGUAAUCAGUUGAUAUUGACUUUUAUUUAGAAAAAUAUGCGCUGUUCUUUGAACAAAUCAAAUAUUGCACGUUCUGCCAGUACAUUUCGUAAGGUUUUGAAGUAACAGUCCAUAUAGAGCUCGUUCCAUAGGAAGAAGUUCGUAAACGAUAUUUUGUAACUGAUAGGGGUCUUGGUGCAAAUCG